rfam:Brachypodium distachyon strain Bd21 chromosome 4, whole genome shotgun sequence.
GUAAUAUUCCCUCGGUCCAACAAAGGAUGUCUCAACUUUGACUAAAUUUGAAUGCAUCUAUACACUAAGUCACAUCUUGAUACAUCCAAAUUUUGACAAACUUGAGACAUCUUUUGUUGGAAGGAGGGAGUACUGU